UUAAUUUAGGGUCUCCUGGAGCAGAUCCGGGUGGUUUGUUAUUGUAGGGUCUCCCAUCACUUGCAGUGAUGUCUUAUUUACUGUAGGGUCUCCCAGAGCAGCUCCAGGUGUUUAUUUACUGUAGGGUCUCCUGAAGCAGCUCCAGGUGGUUUGUUAUUGUAGGGUCUCCCAUCACUGUGUUUAUUUACCGUAGGGUCUCCUGAAGCAGCUCCAGGUGGUUUGUUAUUGUAGGGUCUCCCAUCACUGUCUUAUUUACUGUAGG